UAUAUUUAAAUAAUUGAAGAAGCACCUUGACGAUUUUUAUCUGAAAAAUGUACAAAAGAAAAAUUAUUAAACAAGCAACAACUAAAGUAUAUAUCAUGAAUUAUUAAUUAACUUCCUAUUGCGAGAAAUACAAGUCUUAGGCUCUAUUUUAUGCAACCUACUUAAUCUUUAUGGAACUAAAAUACUAAUCUCUACGUACAAACAUAGUAGUUUACUGAUUACCUUUUAUUUUAUUUAUUACUUUGCCAAUUUUUCUAUAAUUUAAAAAUUGCCAAUCUUUUAUGACAAAU
rnacentral:lncRNA from 1 species